ensembl:lncRNA
CACACUUUCUCACCUCCUUCGAUGUCUCCAACUGCCCCCGAGGGCUGAGGCUGGCACAUCCUUGCAGAGAGCGGCUGUCUACACAGGUGCCUCCCCUCGGGUGUAUUAACCUACCACCUCCCCCCCGCCCCCCGCGAAUGUCCAGUUCCCCGCCCCCUCCCCGCCCGAAGGAAAGAGAGAACACUGGCCUCCUGCAGGGAAAGCAUUUAUCUUGCUUUCUCUACAAAAGCCCGGGACUGGACCGAAGCGAGGAGCUGCCUCCAUUCACUCUAUCAUCUCAUGAGCCCUACGGGAACCAGGCACCCUGCUAGGCGAUUGGGAGGAGCGACUGAAAGACAAGAUGGAUACAAACCGUAGAAGGAGGUCACAGUCCGGUGAAAAGAUGGACACGCAAGUGGGUGAUUUCAAAAUUCUGGAAGCAAAGACUGUCCCUCUCUGCGCGACCCAGUGUGCUACCCUCCCUCUCAUUCCGGCACACCCAGCAGCCUUCGGCCCAUCCUUCCCGCUCUAUUCUGUUCCGUUUCUCCUAUUCCAAGGGCUUCUUCCUGACUUGACUGGUUCCCCUCUCUUGAAAAAAAAAAAAAAAAAAGGCAAAACUUCAGGUGAUGCUCCCUGUACCAUCUGAAACACAGAUUCAUUUAUAACCACUAAACGCUUGUUUUGUGCCUGGCUUCCUGUCAUGGGCUGGACAGGUCUCGGAGUUCUGAUGGUCAAACCUCAGCAUCUGCAUAAGGCACUGUAGGAGCUGUGAGAACAGCCGGCUAGCUGCUUACAAGUUCUCCCUGGAAGCGACCUCUGUCAUCCCGGGGAAGCUGGAGUACUCCUGCUGGGCGUCUGCAGGCCAGAAUAUCUUUCGUGAGGGGUCACCUGUGCUUUUUCGUGGAUUGGUCCCAGCAUCUCUUCUUCCAUGAGCAAUUCAGAGAAUACCCUAAGGCUACACCUUCUUCUUCUGGUUGGACUCACGGUCACAUUCUCACCAGUCUUGCUUGGCAGUCUCUAGGAGUUACUGAGUCAACCUUGCCUCCCUCUUCAGCCUCUGAAUAGCCCCUGGGCAGAGACUUUGCCACAGCUCUCAUUCAUCGAGUCGGCCAGGCAAGCUGAGACCCAGAGAGCUCACUGGUCUUGACCAAGGUCAGAUCACGAGCUUGUGGCUGAGCCAGGACCGGACACCAAGUCCACUGGCCUAGGUGGCCAACAACUCAUCUGCCUCCAGGUGAAAUUAAACCAAGUCAGGGUAUAUUUGGGGUGCAAAGAAAAGAGAAAGUGGGCUCUCAAUGCAUGGACAUUUCUGAACCAGACGGAUCCGCCUGUCAACAUCCCACUGGGGGCACUGGAAAAACAUUGAUGUCAAGAAGAUCUGGGUUUGAAUCUAAAAGCUAUCAAAUGACUCUUAGUGAGUUACUUCAUCAAAGUCUCAGAUUUGAAAAGAUUGAUUAUUUUAAUUGUGGUAAAGUAAACAUAACAUGCCUGCAAUGCAGUAGAUGGGGUUUGAUCCCUGGGUUGGAAAGAUCCCCUGGAAAAGGAAAAGGCAACCUACUGUAAUAUUCUUUCCUGGGAAAUGCCAUGGACAGAGGAGCCUGGCAGGUUACAGUCCAUGGGGUCUCAAGAGUCGGACAGGACUUCGUGACUAAAUCACCACCAAACAUGACAUUAAAUUCCUGGCAUUUUAUAGGUACCUAGAAGAUAUUAGUGCUUAUGAAUUUCAACAAGGCUUGUCACAUAAGGCUCAUUGGAUAUCUUUAUAGCCUUUUUGGACUUUUUUCUGGUUAGUAAUGUAUAGAGGAAUGUUUCUUAUGCAAAAUUUGAGAGUACAGAAUGUGAAGAACACCAGAAUUCUUUAUAACCUCCCUCCCUGAGAUACCUAUUAUUAACAUUUGACUCAUACUAUUUCCAUCUUUCUUAAAGGUAUACUGAAUAGGAGCAUAUGAAUAUAAUUUUAUGUCUUUUCUUUGAAAUUAGUAUAACAAACACUUCUUUAUAACUUGCUUGGCUUUAGCUCAUCUUCAUAUCCUGAAACAUCUGCAAUUCAAUAUGCUUUCAAACACUUGCUUAAUAAUGUAGCAUAUGCAUCCAGAAUAAGAGAUUUAGCCCUUUCUCUCACUGAACAAAUUAGACUAUUUCUGAUCAGUCAUUCUUUAUGAUAUAGAAAACUGGCAUGGAAAUUCUG